rnacentral:lncRNA from 1 species
GAUAAUAUUGCAAGAUGCAUGUUGUUAUGCAGUUUACUACCAUCUGCUAUGAGAUCUUUUGCAAGGGAGGUGCCAACCUUACCAACAGGUGUCUGAGCUUGCUGCCAGUAAAGAAAUCACCAGAUAAGGAAUCUCAUGUCCUCUGUUUGGCACAUCUUCAGGUUGUUGCACGUCAAUAUCAUGGAUUUGAACUAAAGCCAUCAGAAGUUUUUGUUCCCAGAAGUUUCUUGAAGACAUACAUAACUCAUAAAGCAAAGUCUUGCUAUGGUCUACCUACAAAACUCCCAAACCUGGAGCCUUCAAACAGAUGGAAGAAAAGCAACUUAAUGUCUGCCAAAGAAUGCAGGAAGGAAUAG